rnacentral:RNase_P_RNA from 1 species
UGAGUAAGUCAGGCGAUCGCGGCUGCAUAUAUGAUGCAGCUGAGGAAAGUCCGAGCUCCGCAGGGCAGGGUGCUGGGUAACACCCAGUGGAGGCGACUCCAAGGAAAGUGCAACAGAAAGAUACCGCGGGCUGGCUGUUGGAUGGCAGCAGGUGCUCGACCAUUCGACAGCCGGAACGUAAGGGUGGAAAGGUGAGGUAAGAGCUCACCAGCGUCCAGGCGACUGGAACGGCUAUGUAAACCCCACCUGGAGUAAGACCGAAUAGGGGGCAUUAUGUGGUGGCCCGCCACGUCCCGGGUAGAGGUCGCAUGAGCCUAUUGGCAACAAUAGGCCUAGAUAGAUGAUCGCCCAAGACAGAACUCGGCUUACAGACUUAUCUCACAUU